rnacentral:pre_miRNA from 1 species
UGUUAAAUUUUUUUAUCCAUUUGUAUUGUUAAAAAUUGACGUAGAUUAUGAAAUAAUAAGACAGUGAUACGUGGAGUGUCAUAUGUACCUUGUACUAGCAUAUAGGGACCGGUUUUUAACGGUAGAAAUGUAUGAGAUUUUUAACC